rnacentral:rRNA from 1 species
UCAUCAUGCCCCGUUACUUGACCUGGGCUACACACGUGCUACAAUGGGCGGUACAAAGGGUCGCGAACCCGCGAGGGGGAGCCAAUCCCAAAAAGCCGCUCUCAGUUCGGAUUGCAGGCUGCAACUCGCCUGCAUGAAGCCGGAAUCGCUAGUAAUCGCGGAUCAGCAUGCCGCGGUGAAUACGUUCCCGGGCCUU